rnacentral:rRNA from 1 species
CCCUUAGAUGUCCUGGGCCGCACGCGCGUUAUACUGAUGCAUUCAACGAGCUUAUAACCUUGGCCGAGAGGCCUGGGCAAUCUUGUUAACGUGCAUCGUGAUAGGGAUAGAUUAUUGAAAUUAUUAAUCUUGAACGAGGAAUUCCUAGUAAACGCAGAUCAUCAAUCUGCAUUGAUUACGUCCCUGCCCUUUGUACACACCGCCCGUCGCACCUACCGAUUGGAUGGUCCGGUGAAGCCUCGGGAUUGUGGUUCUUGCCGCUUUAUUGUGGCGUGACCGCGAGAACUUGUCUAAACCUUAUCAUCUAGAGGAAGGCGAAGUCGUAACA